rnacentral:rRNA from 1 species
UUUYCCCUAGUAACUGCGAGUGAAGCGGGAAAAGCUCAAAUUUAAAAUCUGGCAGUCUUUGGCUGUCCGAGUUGUAUUCUGGAGAAGUGUUUUCCGCGCUGGACCGUGUACAAGUCUCUUGGAAUAGAGCGUCAUAGAGGGUGAGAAUCCCGUCUUUGACACGGACUACCAGUGCUUUGUGAUGCGCUCUCAAAGAGUCGAGUUGUUUGGGAAUGCAGCUCAAAAUGGGUGGUGAAUUCCAUCUAAAGCUAAAUAUUGGCGAGAGACCGAUAGCGAACAAGUACCGUGAGGGAAAGAUGAAAAGCACUUUGGAAAGAGAGUUAAACAGUACGUGAAAUUGCUGAAAGGGAAACGCUUGAAGUCAGUCGCGUCAUUCAGAACUCAGCCUGGCUUUUUUGCCUGGUGUACUUUCUGGUUGACGGGCCAGCAUCAGUUUUGACCGCUGGAAAAAGGCCAUGGGAAUGUGGCACCUUCGGGUGUGUUAUAGCCCGUGGUCAUAUACAGCGGUUGGGACUGAGGACUGCAGCAUGCCUUUAUGGUUGGGGUUUGCCCACAUUCGUGCUUAGGAUGCUGGCGUAAUGGCUUUAAACGACCCGUCUUGAAACACGGACCAAGGAGUCUAACAUGCCUGCGAGUGUUUGGGUGGAAAACCCGAGCGCACAAUGAAAGUGAAAGUUGGGAUCCCUGUCGUNGGGGAGCACCGACGCCCGGACCAGACCUUUUGUGACGGAUCCGCGGUAGAGCAUGUAUGUUGGGACCCGAAAGAUGGUGAACUAUGCCUGAAUAGGGUGAAGCCAGAGGAAACUCUGGUGGAGGCUCGUAGCGAUUCUGACGUGCAAAUCGAUCGUCAAAUUUGGGUAUAGGGGCGAAAGACUAAUCGAACCAUCUAGUAGCU